UAGGGAAUCUUCGGCAAUGGACGAAAGUCUGACCGAGCAACGCCGCGUGAGUGAAGAAGGUUUUCGGAUCGUAAAACUCUGUUGUUAGAGAAGAACAAGGACGUUAGUAACUGAACGUCCCCUGACGGUAUCUAACCAGAAAGCCACGGCUAACUACGUGCCAGCAGCCGCGGUAAUACGUAGGUGGCAAGCGUUGUCCGGAUUUAUUGGGCGUAAAGCGAGCGCAGGCGGUUUCUUAAGUCUGAUGUGAAAGCCCCCGGCUCAACCGGGGAGGGUCAUUGGAAACUGGGAGACGUGAGUGCAGAAGAGGAGAGUGGAAUUCCAUGUGGAGCGGUGAAAUGCGUAGAUAUAUGGAGGAACACCAGUGGCGAAGGCGGCUCUCUGGUCUGUAACUGACGCUGAGGCUCGAAAGCGUGGGGAGCAAACAGG
rnacentral:rRNA from 1 species